rnacentral:rRNA from 1 species
AGUGAACGCUGGCGGCGUGCUUAACACAUGCAAGUCGAACGAGAACGGAUUAUAGCUUGCUAUAAUUGUCAGCUAAGUGGCGCACGGGUGAGUAAUGUAUAGGUAAUAUGCCUCUUACUAAGGGAUAACAAAUGGAAACGUUUGCUAAUACCUUAUACUCCUUAUUAACAGAAGUUAAUAAGGGAAAGAUUUAUUGGUAAGAGAUUAGCCUGUAUUGUAUCAGUUAGUUGGUGGGUAAUGGCUUACCAAGACUAUGACACAUAACUGGUUUGAGAGGAUGAUCAGCCACACUGGGACUGAGACACGGCCCAGACUCCUACGGGAGGCAGCAGUGGGGAAUCUUAGACAAUGGGGGAAACCCUGAUCUAGCCAUGCCGCGUGAGCGAUGAAGGCCUUAGGGUUGUAAAGCUCUUUCAGUGGGGAAGAUAAUGACGGUACCCACAGAAGAAGCCCCGGCUAAACUCCGUGCUAGCAGUCGCGGU